rnacentral:rRNA from 1 species
AUUGAACGCUUGCGGCAGGCCUAACACAUGCAAGUCGAGCGAGCGGCGGACGGGUGAGUAAUGUCUGGGAAACUGCCUGAUGGAGGGGGAUAACUACUGGAAACGGUAGCUAAUACAGCAUACCAUCAGAUGUGCCCAGAUGGGAUUAGCUAGUAGGUGGGGUAACGGCUCACCUAGGCGACGAUCCCUAGCUGGUCUGAGAGGAUGACCAGCCAGACUGGAACUGAGACACGGUCCAGACUCCAACGGGAGGGAGCAGUGGGGAAUAUCGCACAAUGGGGGCAAGCCGGAUGCAGCCAUGCCGCUUGUGUGAAGAAGGCCUUCGGGUUGUAAAGCACUAUCAGCGGGGAAGCGUUACCCGCAGAAGAAGCACCGGCGAACUCCGUGCCAGCGGCCGCGGUAAUUC